AAGCCCGGAAUAACUGCCCAUCUCUACACAUGGCAGGAAAACCGGUGUUCGAAAUAAAGCCCAGGUUUGAACUACCUGUUAAACCUCAUUGCAGGAGGAAUAACAGGUUUAAAUCCCGUCCCCCAGCACACCAGGACCAGGUCUUUUCAGAGUCGGGUUGCUUGGGAGUGCAGCCCAAAGUGGGUGGUCAACUCCAUCGAAGGCUAAAUACCAGCAUGAGACCGAUAGUCAACACGUACCGUAAAG
rnacentral:ncRNA from 1 species